rnacentral:rRNA from 1 species
AUGCCCUCGACGGCCGCCGUCACCCGCGGACACCUCGAGAACAAGCUCGCCCUCGCCAAACGCUGCUCCAAAGGUUGUGUACUGAUAGUCUGACACUUCUUUUCUUAAUCUUCCCCAACGCUGGCGAGCGUGAGGAUGCUGCCGUGGGCCAAGGCGAACCUGAACCCCACCGGCUAGGCCCUCAUCAUCUGCACCGUCGCCGGGAUGGCGUACUUCGUCGCCGUCGACAAGACGAUCCUCUCGCUGGCGAGGAGGCACUCGUACGAGAGCGCCCCCGACCACCUCAAGGACACCUCCUUCCGUAACUACUCCAUCCGGUCCUAUUUUGUUUGCGUCUAA